rnacentral:rRNA from 1 species
UACGAAGGGGGCUAGCGUUGCUCGGAAUCACUGGGCGUAAAGCGCACGUAGGCGGAUUGUUAAGUCAGGGGUGAAAUCCUGGAGCUCAACUCCAGAACUGCCUUUGAUACUGGCGACCUUGAGUCCGGGAGAGGUGAGUGGAACUGCGAGUGUAGAGGUGAAAUUCGUAGAUAUUCGCAAGAACACCAGUGGCGAAGGCGGCUCACUGGCCCGGUACUGACGCUGAGGUGCGAAAGCGUGGGGAGCAAACAGG